AGAGUUUGAUCAUGGCUCAGGACGAACGCUGGCGGCGUGGAUUAGGCAUGCAAGUCGAGCGACGGACAGUCUUCGGACUGUUACGGAGCGGCGAACGGGUGAGUAACACGUGAAUAACCUGCCCAUAUGUUCCGGAUAAUUGGCCGAAAGGCCUUGUAAUACGGGGGAGGAUCGGUCUUUGGCAUCUUAGACCGAGGGAAGUCGCAAGACGCAUAUGGAGGGGUUCGCGGAUUAUCAGGUAGUUGGUGGGGUAACGGCCUACCAAGCCUACGACGAUUAGCUGGUCUGAGAGGAUGGUCGGCCACAUUGGAACUGAGACACUGUCCAGACUCCUACGGGAGGCUGCAGUCGAGAAUCUUGGUCAAUGCACGAAAGUGUGAACCAGCGACGCCGCGUGAAGGAUGAAGGCCCUCUGGGUCGUAAACUUCUUUUACGGGAGAAGAACACAAUGAUGGUAUCCCGUGAAUAAGCCACGGCUAACUACGUGCCAGCAGCCGCGGUAAUACGUAGGUGGCAAGCGUUGUCCGGAUUUACUGGGCGUAAAGCGAACGCAGGCGGAUCUUUAAGUAGGAAGUGAAAGGUUGGAGCUCAACUCUAACACUGCUCCCUAUACUGGAGAUCUUGAGUGCCGGAGAGGAAAACGGAACAAGUUGUGUAGCGGUGAAAUGCGUUGAUAUAACUUGGAACACCAAUGGCGAAAGCAGUUUUCUGGACGGAUACUGACGCUCAUGUUCGAAAGCCAAGGUAGCAAACAGGAUUAGAUACCCCGGUAGUCC
rnacentral:rRNA from 1 species